GACGAACGCUGGCGGCGUGCUUAACACAUGCAAGUCGAACGGAAAGGCCCUGCUUUUGUUGGUUGCUCGAGUGGCGAAGGGGUGAGUAACACGUGAGUAACCUGCCCUUGACUGAGUGAUAUCUUCAGGAGACUGGGGCUAAUACCGGGUAGGAGCUUUUGCUGCAUGGGGGGGAUAGGUAAGUGUCGGCGGUUGGGGAUGGACUCGCGGCUUAUCGGCUUGUUGGUGUGGUUGUGGCUUACCACGGGUUUGACGGGUAGCCGGCCUGGGAGGUUGAACGGCCACAUUGGGACUGCGAUAGGCACCAGAAUCCUACGGGCGGCAGAGGGGGGGAGUAUUACACAAUGGGGGGAAGCGUGAGGCGGCAGCGCUGGGUGCGGGAUGACGGCUUUCGGGUGGUAAACCGAUUUCGCAUGUGACGAGGCGUGAGUGACGGUAAUGGGUAAAGAAGCACCGGCUAACUACGUG
rnacentral:rRNA from 1 species